UGAGAUUCCAGAUCGAGUUUACUAAAAGACCUAUUUAAGAAGGGUGGUUUAGUGGUGGGAAACCAACGAGCAAGUAAAGAAAACACCUAUGUGAUAAUGUGAAAACAAUCAGUUGACUUUCGAUUGUCAGCCUUAGAAAUGUUUCAACUUGGAUAGCCUGGCAGGCAAAUCUUCUUUAGUUAAGUCAGAACUUGACAAGUAACACAUUGGUCAACUUGACAAGUAAUAAAUCAGUAGGAACUGGAAGCAGGGCAUUCAUGGAUUGUAGAGUGAUUGCUUAAUGGAAUGUAAGCUGCCAAGUUCCCCCCAUCACAGUCACCAAAGGUUAAUAUUCUGAACAAGCAAAGAACACAUUUUUCAGCUUCCAAAGCUCACAAAUAUUGCAAUUUCAGAACUUUAUCGACAAAAAAUAUUGCAUCCAAGACACUGAAAUGAAAAAACCUUUGCCUCGAUAAGCUUCCGCCUUAGUCUACCUUACCCAGAAGAGCAGCAUGAUUCAGGCGAUUCUGUAGUUUUACUGUGCAUAUAGGUUUUAAGGGAAUCUUAAUAGAGUUGAAGAGAGAGUACGAACCUCGGAACCUGGAAAGUUUCUUCUUACAACUUGAUUUCUGAAUAUGAAGUAAUUUCUUGAGCAACUGGAACGCUUGGCUGAAGGCCAAUUUUUUUAGUAAAUCUUUUUAUGUCGGCUAGCUACGGCUUACAAUCAGUAAGAAUCAACUUUCGAC
rnacentral:lncRNA from 1 species